rnacentral:rRNA from 1 species
UACGUAGGAGGCAAGCGUUGUCCGGAAUCACUGGGUGUAAAGGGUGCGCAGGCGGGAAGGUAAGUCAAUGGGGAAAUCUCACAGCUCAACUGUGAAACUGCCAUUGAUACUGCUUUUCUUGAGUUUGGGAGAGGGUGGUGGAAUUCUUGGUGUAGCGGUGAAAUGCGUAGAUAUCAAGAAGAACACCAGUGGCGAAGGCGGCCACCUGGCCCAUAACUGACGCUCAUGCACGAAAGCGUGGGGAUCAAACAGG